AUUUAAUGAUGUAUAUAUUUUCCAUUACGUAUUUACUUAAGUUGCUUGCUUUGAAUCUCGAGUUGGCAUUUCUAAUACAAGUGUAGUUUCUAGCUUGUUUUCCUAAUUGGAAUGAAAUAAAAAUAGAAUGGAAUUUUAGAGUGGGUAUUUUUAUGCUUAUAAAAGGAGUGACAAAAAGCAAACCCCAACAACCAACCACCAAACCCCAACUAAAUACCAACAACCCUCUGACUCCACAGUGUGUCUUGCUGAAGCCCAUUACCUCUCUUGCAAUGAUUUGGCAGCCAGGUGGCCACAGAUUUGACCAUGUCUUGAGGACAGGUUCCUUCUCUCUGUACAGUUGUUUCAUCAUGCACAGGGAAGAUGGGAUAAGAGGAGAUCUGCAGAUUCCUUGAGGUUUUUUUGGCUAUGAUAAUCUCUAGAUUGAGGGUAGGACAUCUCUUCUUGAUGAGCAGACAGAUCUGAAUAUGUGCUGCUGUGUCUGCAUCCAACAGAGGUCUCACACCAUAAGAACAUUACUCCAAGGUAACAUAACCAAGGCCUGAAAGGAAACAUGAGAAAAAUGGCUGUUACUGAUGAGAUGAAAAGCAAAAUGGAAACUGGUAGAAAGGGCAAGAAAGAUGUGGAGGGAAGAGAGAAAAGACAAAGAAUGCUGCAGAAGGAAGAUGAAUGGUGAUGAUACCAUAAUGAUGGAUCAUGGUGGAGACGGAGAGCUGGGAGGGAGCCAAAUGGGAGAGUCAGAUGAGAAAGUGCCACAGAAAAGAGAAGGCAGGUAUGGGAGGAGGAGGAAAAGACUGAUGGGGAGGGAGCAGGAGGACAUGGAUAGGGUUGAAGGAGGGUUGGAGAGAUAAAGGAAGCAAGGAGGAGGGUGGAGAACAAAACUUUGCCCAAAGUGUAGUGCAGCAAUCCUCCUGCAUCUCCUGGAUGCAUGUAAAAGGGGCUUGGAAGAAUCUUCAUUUAUCAGGAAUUCAAUUAAGUGGAAUAGUCAUUAUUAAUUUGAUAGGAAUUAUUUGUGCAGGAAAGCCUGGAGUGAGGAAAGGACUCCUGGAGCCAUUUCUCCUGUCAGUGCCCCAGGUCAGGUUGCCCACCUGGUCAAGGACAGCCCAGCAUCACUCUGCAACAUUGGCCCCCCAGCAUGCCAAGAGCCCUUUUGGGGCACGCAGACCUCAGCCCCAUGCAUGCACACCCUGACUGUGAUUCGGAAAACAAGUGGAAGCAGCAGGAGGUGCUGGUCUCUCUGGCCGAGACGCCCGGCAACACGGGGCGGGUGUUCCCCAGACAGCCCCCUGCUAACAAGGGAUCCUGUCUCGGAGGCUGUGAGUCACCGCUGAAA
rnacentral:lncRNA from 1 species